UGGAGUUACGAACAAUUGUGAGCUGCCUGUGGGUGCUGGGAAUUGAACCUGGGUCUUUUAGAAGACCAGACAGUGCUCUUAACUGCUGAGCCAUCUCUCCAGCCCUGUAAAUCCUAUUUUUAUAAUUGAGAUUUCACCUUUUUAAAAAUUUCAUUUCAUGCCAUUGAGUAAUAGUGAGAAAACUAAUCGUGAUUGGUAAAUUUAGGUCUCGGAAUCCUUUCUGCGCAUUCUAUAUGUAGUUUCUCAUAUGAACUGAGUUCUCUGGACGGUAAACUGAGGAAAGAGAUUGGGACUCUGUGUCAGUAGUUACUUCAGUCAGCAGCUAACAGAAUGAUACAUUCUAUUGGGUAAGUCAGGGCUGCAUCUCAGCUAUGGAGUACCUACCUGGUCUGCAUGAGUUCAAAACUGGUGUGGUGGGCAGAAUCUGUAGUUCCAGCCGUUGAGGUAGAGGAGCAGUUCAGGGUCAUUCUUGGCUAUGACACAGAAGUUCAAAGCCAGCUUGGGUUACACGAGACUGUCUCAAAAGAAAGGAAAUAAAGCAGUUGUUGGUGGGAACACAGAAAACUGAUGUGACUGUUUACUUCUCACUUUUCCUGUGUCUUCAGCUAAUAGACGGAACGGCCUGGUUCCUCAGAUCUGCUAAACAAUAUUGGUGGAAACAAGUCAACAGUUUUCUAAGAAAAAAAUCAUCUGUAUUGUGUGUUUAACAUUUAUAAUCACACACACGGGAAAAUGGCCCAGUGAAAUUGCUUGCCAAAAGCACUCAGACACUCAAUCCUGAUGGCCGUGUCCACCCUAUGGUGAUGAGGAAGCCAGGGGUGAGAAAUGGGAGCUUGUGGGCCAGAGAACAACCAGAGAGACCCUGCCUCAGCAAUGUGGAAGGAGGCGUGUAGACAGCCAGAGACUGUACCACCUGAUGGUGUCAGCAGUGUGGCUUGUUCAGCUUUGCUCGUGGGAGUAUAGUGCUGCAAGACCCUGUUACUCAACUUCUGUUACUCAAACCAACAGCCGAGGCAAUCUACUUGAAAUGAAAAGUGGUUGAUUUUGGCCCCUGGUCACCUGGCUCAUUUCUGGAUCCAAACAAUGGCAGAGUACAAUAAAGAGCCCAUGAAACCCAAACAGGGUAGAAAGCGUGAAAACACGGGAGUGAAUGCCCAUGAUAGGUGAGAUAGGUAAAGAGAAACUAGAAUUGAACCACCUCCAGGCCUGUAGUCCCCAGAUCAACCCUUUUGUCAGGAAACUGCUGUAAAUUACAAGUUUUGAGGUAGUAUAGAAGGAAAAAAAAAAAAAAAAAAUCAAUGAGCUGAAAUUUGAGUGGGUUCUGUAAGCUACUUGAGGACAUGUCCCAGCAUGAUUCCAGCCAAUGGACUUGGAGAUCAAGUCCUCCUUAGGUGAUUCCCUCCAGCCUUAAAAGGGGCACUAGGCCAGUGCUCGGGACGCCCCGAGGCUUGACAUCUUUGGAAGGGUGGUAGAGUAUUUGAGAAAGCCGUUUCCGUGUGCUUGUGGGUUGGACUGAGAACUGUGGCCGCUGCUUCAACUGUGCAGGGUGACCAGGCCCCACCGCUGCUUCAACCGUGCAGGGUGACCAGGCCCCAUGCAUGCAUGUUGACAGCUUGUUCUCGAACGGAGAGAAACUUGAGAUGAUAAGGCCACUAGUUUAAUUAACAUCCACAUUCGGAGAUGUCAGAUCUGCACACAGAAAAACCAGACUGUAAAGCGCAUAGACUGGGAACAGCUGAACUAGAGCCACUAGAACUAUAAACAAUAGUAAUAAUUAUAAACACUAAUGAUUCAAGAAUGCGCAGGGUUGAAAGCAAACUAAAAAUGUAACUUAGAAAUUUGCAUUUGGGCUUAAAAAUCAAUUGUAAAACAUAAACUAUAGGUAGCUUUUCAGUCAUUUAUUGGAAAUCAAAGCUUUUGGAGUUUUUAUGUCAUCCAUUUCAA